UACGUAGGUGACAAGCGUUGUCCGGAUUUACUGGGCGUAAAGAGCGCGCAGGCGGUCGAUCAAGUCGAGUGUGAAAGCCCCGAGCUUAACUUGGGAACUGCGCUCGAAACUACUUGGCUAGAGUGUGGCAGAGGGAGGUGGAAUUCCGACGUGUAGCGGUGAAAUGCGUAGAGAUGUGGAGGAACACCGAUGGCGAAGGCGGGUUGCUGGGCCGACACGUGACGCUGAGGCGGCGAAAGCCCAGGGGAGCGAACGG
rnacentral:rRNA from 1 species